GACGUAGGGGGCGAGCGUUGUCCGGAUUCAUUGGGCGUAAAGCGUGCGUAGGCGGCUGCGCAAGUCGGGUGUGAAACCCCGGGGCUCAACCCCGGAACUGCAUCCGAUACUGCGUGGCUAGAGGUAGGUAGGGGAGAUCGGAAUUCCUGGUGUAGCGGUGAAAUGCGCAGAUAUCAGGAGGAACACCGGUGGCGAAGGCGGAUCUCUGGGCCUUACCUGACGCUCAGGCACGAAAGCUAGGGGAGCGAACAGG
rnacentral:rRNA from 1 species